CCACAAUUACAGUUACAUUGAGAAUAGGAAAGAAUUUUGAAUCUAUUCAAAAUUCUUUCCUAUUCAUAUACUCUUAGGGUUGGAAAUAUUUAUUAUGCAAAGGUUACAUCAGCAUGGAUACAAUUGUGCAGUGCCUAUGCACAAUUUUACAAAAGUUGUUCAAACUACCAACAGCCACAUUCAAUGUAAACAUAGCAUUGUUGAAUGAAAAUCUGGGGCACUCUUUCAAAAUUCCCCAGCAUUCCACAUACCACAUCAGAUGCUAUCCACCAUAUCACAUCAAAUACCUCAGAAAACUUUCAGAUGUUAUAUCUUUUUAAUGAAGCCCCAAAUCAAAAAAAUGGUCCUAAGAAUUUUUACUUAUAAUUGCCUUUUCCGUAUGCUUCUUCAAUUUUUCCCAGACCUUUUGAAUCACCGUGUAUAG
rnacentral:lncRNA from 1 species